CUCCAGUGCAGUAGGGGGCAGUAAUGAGCUUUCAUACUGGUUCAACUGCUGCCAGAGGAAGAAGGAGAAGAAGACACAUCACAUCCUGUGCUGGGUAGAGAGCAUGCUCCUGAGUUCCCAGUGCUAAAGUGAAGACUCACGAUGCAGCCAGAGACCCCAAACUGAGCAAGUUUUGUUUGCCUGACGAGCAACACCUGUGUGGUUCCUGCUCAGCAGCUCGGUGUGGUGCUGCCUCAGCCACAGGCACAUCAAGGCUCCUCCACUCAAACUCACUCAAACUACCUCAAACUAUGGAGAUAAUGCUGUGGAAAUCUAAAUGAAGGACUCUAAAAACGUGAGGAAUAAAAUGAAGGAACAAACCCGGAGAUGUGUUUGGAGUCAGCAGUCUCAGAGAAGGUGUGGGAGCCUUCACAGGAGCAGAGGGACUUCACCGUUUCCGCCUGGACACUGAGGGAGGAAAGACAGAAGAGGUGAAUGCCUGUUUCUCUGUCUCUUGGUGACUGUUUGCUAGCUGUUUUUGAUAUCUAAUGGCUAACUUUACCUUCAUAGGAACAACUGAGAGAUGACUGAAAGUUCCCCACCAUGUGCAACAAGUAAGUCACAUUAAUCUUGUAAGGAGUAUGCUAGCUUUUCUCUGUCAUGUCAAUUAAUUGUGUUUAAAAGUCUUGUCCCUGAUACCUACAUUAAAAUAUUUUUUGAAUUG